rnacentral:rRNA from 1 species
CCAGACUCCUACGGGAGGCAGCAGUGGGGGAUAUUGCACAAUGGGGGGAACCCUGAUGCAGCGACGCCGCGUGGGUGAAGGAGUGCUUCGGCAUGUAAAGCCCUAUCGGCAGGGAAGAAGCAAGACGGUACCUGACUAAGAAGCCCCGGCUAACUACGUGCCAGCAGCCGCGGGAAUACGUAGGGGGCAAGCGUUAUCCGGAUUUACUGGGUGUAAAGGGAGCGUAGGCGGUUUAGCAAGUCAGAAGUGAAAGCCCGGGGCUCAACUCCGGGACUGCUUUUGAAACUGUUGAACUAGAUUGCAGGAGAGGUAAGUGGAAUUCCUAGUGUAGCGGUGAAAUGCGUAGAUAUUAGGAGGAACACCAGUGGCGAAGGCGGCCUGCUGGACGACAACUGACGGUGAGGCGCGAAAGCGUGGGGAGCAAACAGGAUUAGAUACCCGGGUA